AAACUUAAAGGAAUUGACGGGACCCGCACAAGCGGUGGAUGAUGUGGUUUAAUUCGAUGCAACGCGAAAACCUUACCCACCUUUGACAUGUACGGAAUCCUUUAGAGAUAGAGGAGUGCUCGAAAGAGAACCGUAACACAGGUGCUGCAUGGCUGUCGUCAGCUCGUGUCGUGAGAUGUUGGGUUAAGUCCCGCAACGAGCGCAACCCUUGUCAUUAGUUGCUACAUUCAGUUGGGGCACUCUAAUGAGACUGCCGGUGACAAACCGGAGGAAGUGGGGAUGACGUCAAGUCCUCAUGGCCCUUAUAGGUGGGGCUACACACGUCAUACAAUGGAUGGUACAAAGGGUCGCCAACCCGCGAGGGGGAGCCAAUCCCAUAAAGCCAUUCGUAGUCCGGAUCGCAGUCUGCAACUCGACUGCGUGAAGUCGGAAUCGCUAGUAAUCGUGGAUCAGAAUGUCACGGUGAAUACGUUCCCGGGUCUU
rnacentral:rRNA from 1 species